GUUUCCUCCCGGUGCCACCGGCCUGAGGCUUUGCUGGGGCGUAGCAAUUGCCCUCGUACUGGGAGGGCGACGAUUUUUCGUUCCAGCGCUUCCCCCUACCCCCGGUGGUGCUCCCUCCCCCAUCUUCUCUUCAGUAAUUCGCCCUUCCUCCUGCAGCCGUUUAGACGUAGUUAAAUGUGGCCCUAAAGAACUGAUUCCCCUGGGUGUUUAUUCACUCCUCGGAACUGAUAGCAGGGUGGGGAAAGAAAUUGAACAGGAGGUUUCUUUUUUGGGAGGGAACACGCACGCAACUCUACAGGCCCCCAACUGAAGCCAAGGACAGCAGCCGCUGCCCGGGAGGGACCGAGUUAUGAAGUAGUUGGGGAAACGCCCUCAGGCUGGGCUCUACGGGGAAGAUGUCUUCUCAGAGCUAGAGGGAAGGAGCUUUGAACUGCAACGGUUUGAGCUUCGAGGUCUACAUAAGGUGCAGCAGCUGUGUACCCAGUGGCUGACAUCAGACCCUCAGAGCACAGAUCAUUGAAAACCACAGAUAAUCCUGGAAUUUAUUGUUUGGUCCUGCUGUUCUUACACCAUUCAUGUUUCCUGGGGAACAAACCAGCAGUAAAGUGG